rnacentral:tRNA from 1 species
GGUAAAAUGGCUGAGGAUAAGCGAUAAACUGUAAAUUUAUUUAUGAAUUUAAUUCUUUUACCA